UGCUUCUAAUAGCCUUCACUGGUCUCCGUCCAGAGCAACGGGGUCUAUUGGUCCAUUAUAUACUGUCUAUGGGGAGAACAGGGGCGAAAGUAACACGGGACAAAAGCUUAUAUACUGUCUAUGGACGAAAGUAACAAAGCGAUUUUCUCUGAGCCCUGACUACAUUUGCAUUUCAAGCUAUGACAGCACUUUCAGCACGCAGCCAGUGACGGAGCCGCAAAAUAUCACGCGAUUUCAUCAUUGUUUACCGCUGUUAUGUCCUGAAAGCUGUUUUCGAGUACGAUUAUGCCAAGAGUGAGGGUCAGAAAGACAGACAGAGGUCUGAUUCAGCCAGAUGUGUAUGAGAGGGCGUUUCUGGACAUAUCUGUAAGACACAUUAGUCUUAGGGCAGCUGCAAAGUCGCAUGGCAUUUGCCAUGUCACUUUGCUCCGAUACUGCAGGAGGAGGGCAGAGAACAGCAGGGAGAAGACUAGACCACCAGGGUACAGGUCACACACACCAAAGUCUUCUCUGUGGACCAAGAGAGGAAGCUGGAGGCUUAUAUUAAGAGGGCAGCUGAUUAUAUUUUGGCCUGUCUCCUAAGGAGGUCAACGGCGAUCCUCACUGACUCUCCGGUGAGGGCAGCUCUGGAGGAGGAGCAACAGAAGAGGAUCCAGAAGAAGAAGCCGCCUGCUCCAAAGAAAAGGUUCCUCACGGUCGAAAACACUGCACCCACAGUUUCCUCGGACAAGGAUGAGGAAUGUCUUGUGUGUGACGAAACAUCAGCUCAUCCUUGCCUGGGGAAGUGUGGGUUCAGUGUCUCUUUUGCCAGCUCUGGUCACAUGAGGCAUGCACUGAGGGUGCAGAACAUUAUAUCUGUCACAACUGUGACAAUGAGUAGACUAAUGCCUUUUUAAUGUUCCUUUUUGUUUGUUUACAUAAGUCAGGUUUCCAUCAAAGUUAUGGUGGCAUCCCUUUGCUGUUUUUGUUUCUAGGUUUCACUAGAGGAACAUUGAGGAACAGCUGAUUUCGGUAGGUCACCCUCACAUUUUAUCCAUCACAUUUAGGUUAGCCAUACCUUAGCUUUUCCACCUCCACCUAUGAAUUUUUUGUUUCCAUCCAGAUGUUUUUAUGCACAUUUUGAAUUUACACAUAAAAACAUGACUACUGAUAGAUUAUUUUGAGAUUCUAUGCUAAUUUAGUUAAAUUUUCAUAUUGUUCAUACUGUUGAAUGUUUUAUAA